GCCGUUAUCGUAUAGUGGUUAAUACAUUGCGUUGUGGCCGCAAUAACCCAGGUUCGAGUCCUGGUCACGGCA
rfam:Nematostella vectensis strain CH2 x CH6 NEMVEscaffold_423_Cont26820, whole genome shotgun sequence.